ensembl:lncRNA
CUUUAAUACCCUUGUCUUUGUUGCCUGGGAGUCUAUUCUGCUAGCAGCCUUCAAAUGAAGAUAUAGAGCUCUCAGCUCCUCCUGCAUCAUGCCUACGUAGAUGCUGCCAUGCUCCUGCCUUGAUGAUAAUGGACUGAACCUCAGAACCUAUAUGCAGCAUGAUUGCUCUAUAGCACAUAUCCAGAACAUCAGGCUGGACUUGACUGACAAACGCUGGCCAAACACAGAAGGCCUCUACUUCACGGAUGGGAGCAGCUUCAUCCAGAAUGGAAUCAUGUUUGCAGGGGCAGAGGUGUCUUUUCAGGAUGGGCAGAAGCCUACCCUACAAAGAAGGAGAGUACCAAUGUAGUGGCAGAGAGGCUUCUGGAAGACAUUAUACCCAGCCUGCCAGGAGACAAAAUCCAGUAAUUAAAGUCCCAGCAGAGGAGACUUCCAGGGGAUGUCACAAGAAUGAUGGAAGGUCACCCUACACCCUGUCAGUCUGCCGAGUCUGUGACUCCAGUGUCCUGAUCCUGCUUGCUAGCUGCUGCUUCUUUGCUGCACCAGCCACUGGCCCCUUACUAUCUGGGUACCCCUAAGGGGUGAUACAACAACCUUGUCAUCAACGUCACAGUGUCUAGCAGGAAGACUGAUUAGACUGCCGGUUCUUAACUCCUCUUACCGGACAGGGACUCUGC